CCUACGGGACGCAGCAGUAGGGAAUCUUCCACAAUGGACGAAAGUCUGAUGGAGCAACGCCGCGUGAGUGAAGAAGGGUUUCGGCUCGUAAAACCCUGUUGUUAGAGAAGAAAGUGCGUGAGAGUAACUGUUCACGUUUCGACGGUAUCUAACCAGAAAGCCACGGCUAACUACGUGCCAGCAGCCGCGGUAAUACGUAGGUGGCAAGCGUUAUCCGGAUUUAUUGGGCGUAAAGGGAACGCAGGCGGUCUUUU
rnacentral:rRNA from 1 species